rnacentral:rRNA from 1 species
CUACGGGCGGCUGCAGUAAGGAAUCUUCCGCAAUGGGCGAAAGCCUGACGGAGCGACACCGCGUGGAGGACGAAGGUCCAUGGAUUGUAAACUCCUUUUCUACCGGAAGAAGAUCUGACGGUACGGUAGGAAUAAGCCCCGGCUAAUUACGUGCCAGCAGCCGCGGUAAUACGUAAGGGGCAAGCGUUAACCGGAAUCAUUGGGCGUGAAGCGUCCGCAGGUGGAGGUGUAAGUCUGUUAUUAAAUAUCGGAGCUCAACUUCGAUGCCGUAAUGGAAACUACAUUUCUAGAGGAUAGGAGAGGUAUGUGGAAUUCUGCAAGUAGGGGUAAAAUCCGUAGAUAUGCAGAGGAACACCAAAAGCGAAGGCAGCAUACUGGACUAUUCCUGACACUCAGGGACGAAAGCGUGGGUAGCGAAACGGAUUAGAUGCCCUAGUAGUC